rnacentral:rRNA from 1 species
AUACGAAUGGUGCAAGCGUUGUUCGGAAUCACUGGGCAUAAAGCGCGCGUAGGCGGCGGUAUAAGUCAGUUGUGAAAUCCCUCGGCUCAACCGAGGAACUGCAACUGAAACUGUGCCGCUGGAGUGUGGGAGGGGAGAACGGAAUUCCUGGUGGAGCGGUGAAAUGCAUAGAUAUCAGGAGGAACGCCGGAGGCGAAAGCGGUUCUCUGGCCCACAACUGACGCUGAGGUGCGAAAGCUAGGGGAGCAAACAGGAUUAGAUACCCCAGUAGUCC